UACGUAGGGUGCGAGCGUUGUCCGGAAUUAUUGGGCGUAAAGGGUUCGUAGGCGGUUUGUUGCGUCGGGGGUGAAAACUCAAGGCUUAACCCUGAGCCUGCUUCCGAUACGGGCAGACUAGAGGUAUGCAGGGGAGACCGGAAUUCCUGGUGUAGCGGUGAAAUGCGCAGAUAUCAGGAGGAACACCGGUGGCGAAGGCGGUUCUCUGGGCAUUACCUGACGCUGAGGAGCGAAAGUGUGGGGAGCGAACAGG
rnacentral:rRNA from 1 species